rnacentral:tRNA from 1 species
GGCUUGUGGCUCAGAGGAAAAGCACUUGUCUAGCAUGCGUGAGGCACUGGGUUCGAUCCUCAGCACCA